AGCGAACGCUGGCGGCAGGCUUAACACAUGCCAGUCGAGCGGGCACUUUCGGGUGUCAGCGGCGGACGGGUGAGUAACGCGUGGGAACGUGCCCUCUGGUUCGGAAUAACUCAGGGAAACUUGAGCUAAUACCGGAUACGCCCUUUUGGGGAAAGGCUUGCUGCCGGAGGAUCGGCCCGCGUCUGAUUAGCUAGUUGGUGAGGUAACGGCUCACCAAGGCGACGAUCAGUAGCUGGUCUGAGAGGAUGAUCAGCCACACUGGGACUGAGACACGGCCCAGACUCCUACGGGAGGCAGCAGCGGGGAAUAUUGGACAAUGGGCGCGAGCCUGAUCCAGCCAUGCCGCGUGAGUGAUGAAGGCCUUAGGGUUGUAAAGCUCUUUUAUCCGGGACGAUAAUGACGGUACCGGAGGAAUAAGCCCCGGCUAACUUCGUG
rnacentral:rRNA from 1 species